rnacentral:rRNA from 1 species
AUUGAACGCUGGCGGCAGGCUUAACACAUGCAAGUCGAGCGGAGAUGAGGUGCUUGCACCUUAUCUUAGCGGCGGACGGGUGAGUAAUGCUUAGGAAUCUGCCUAUUAGUGGGGGACAACAUUCCGAAAGGAAUGCUAAUACCGCAUACGUCCUACGGGAGAAAGCAGGGGAUCUUCGGACCUUGCGCCAAUAGAUGAGCCUAAGUCGGAUUAGCUAGUUGGUGGGGUAAAGGCCUACCAAGGCGACGAUCUGUAGCGGGUCUGAGAGGAUGAUCCGCCACACUGGGACUGAGACACGGCCCAGACUCCUACGGGAGGCAGCAGUGGGGAAGAUUGGACAAUGGGGGGAACCCUGAUCCAGCCAUGCCGCGUGUGUGAAGAAGGCCUUAUGGUUGUAAAGCACUUUAAGCGAGGAGGAGGCUACUGAGACUAAUACUCUUGGAUAGUGGACGUUACUCGCAGAAUAAGCACCGGCUAACUCUGUGCCAGCAGCCGCAGUAA